CGAGGAAAACAGGCAGUCGCGUGGCCAGGCCGAAAGGCCGUCCAUGAGGAAAGUCCGGGCUCCACAGGGCAAGGAUAACGGGUAACGCCCGCCGAAGGCGACUUCAGGAAAAGUGCAACAGAGAUAUACCGCCUCCCCCCGUUUUUUAAUGGGGUCCCCGCAAAAUCAAAGAUUUUGUGAGGAGAGGAGGAAGGAAUGAUGCGGACUCCGUCUCCGCCGAAGGCGGGGACGGAGCAGGACGGAAUUCCUUCCGGCGAGGUAAGGGUGGAAAGGUGCGGUAAGAGCGCACCCGACGGCUGGGAACAGCCCGUCGCUGUAAACUCUAUCCGGAGCAACACCGGUAUGGGAGCAUGCAGGCUGGCCCGGCCGCUCCCGGGGUGGCUGGAGCGCGCUGGCAACAGCGCGCCUAGAUAGAUGACUGCCAAAUACAGAACCCGGCUUACAGUUUUGCUCGCAAA
rnacentral:RNase_P_RNA from 1 species